GCAUAUCAAUAAGCGGAGGAAAAGAAACCAACAGGGAUUGCCCUAGUAACGGCGAGUGAAGCGGCAACAGCUCAAAUUUGAAAGCUAGCCUUCGGGUUCGCAUUGUAAUUUGUAGAGGAUGAUUUGGGGAAGCCGCCUGUCUAAGUUCCUUGGAACAGGACGUCAUAGAGGGUGAGAAUCCCGUAUGUGACAGGAAAUGGCACCCUAUGUAAAUCUCCUUCGACGAGUCGAGUUGUUUGGGAAUGCAGCUCUAAAUGGGAGGUAAAUUUCUUCUAAAGCUAAAUAUUGGCGAGAGACCGAUAGCGCACAAGUAGAGUGAUCGAAAGAUGAAAAGCACUUUGGAAAGAGAGUUAAAAAGCACGUGAAAUUGUUGAAAGGGAAGCGCUUGCAAUCAGACUUGUUUAAACUGUUCGGCCGGUCUUCUGACCGGUUUACUCGGUUUGGACAGGCCAGCAUCAGUUUCGGCGGCCGGAUAAAGGCUCUGGGAAUGUGGCCUCCACUUCGGUGGAGGUGUUAUAGCCCAGGGUGUAAUACGGCCAGCCGGGACUGAGGUCCGCGCUUCGGCUAGGAUGCUGGCGUAAUGGUUGUAAGCGACCCGUCUUGAAACACGGACCAAGGAGUCUAACAUCUAUGCGAGUGUUCGGGUGUCAAACCCCUGCGCGUAAUGAAAGUGAACGGAGGUGGGAACCCGCAAGGGUGCACCAUCGACCGAUCCUGAUGUCUUCGGAUGGAUUUGAGUAAGAGCAUAGCUGUUGGGACCCGAAAGAUGGUGAACUAUGCCUGAAUAGGGUGAAGCCAGAGGAAACUCUGGUGGAGGCUCGCAGCGGUUCUGACGUGCAAAUCGAUCGUCAAAUUUGGGUAUAGGGGCGAAAGACUAAUCGAACCAUCUAGUAGCUGGUUCUGCC
rnacentral:rRNA from 1 species